AAAUGCUUUCUUUUAUAAGAGUUGCCUUGGUCACAGUGUAUAGAAUAAUGACUAAGACAGUGUCCGUACACUUGAAUACAGGUGUUCUCAAGAGAGUUACAGGCAGCUGUGAGCCACUGGAUGGGAGCUGAACUCUGGUCCAUCUUGCUUGGCUGUAAGGCCUCAAACUCACAAACUCACAGUGUUCUUCAUGUCUCAGCCUCCACUCCGCAUAUCUUCAGUCCUAUGUAACAGAUACACUCUCUGGCUCAAUUGAUUGAUCUGCAAGAGCACAUCACACUGAGGUUCCCAGUCUUAAGACAUUCACAUUGUUGCUGUUGUUGUUUAAACACAGAGCCAAACUCUAGCCAAGACUGCAAAUCAUGGUAACCCUGCCUCAGCUUCUCCAGUGCUGGGAUUGCAAGUGUGCAUCACUUCACCUGAUUUAGAAAUCCUUAUCACACUCAGGAGGUGGAGGCAGCUACACAGUGAGCUGAAGACCAGCCACAACGACAUGGGACCUUGUCUCAAAUAAAUAAAGUCUAAAGUAAUGUGUGGGGUAGGGGUUAGAACUGGACAGAUGGCUCAGUGGCUAAGAGAACUUGCUCCUUCUGCAGAGGACCAGAGUUUGGUUCCCACCAACCACAUCCAGGGGAUUGUAACUACCUGUAAUUCGAGUUCCAAAAAUCAGAUGCUUGCAUGUGCACACAGAAAGUAAAUACUUAAAAUGAACAAUUGCUAACACUAUCUCUGCUCUCUGGUAAAUCCAAACCUCGCCUUUCUGAUGGACUCUAGCUUUCACUUGUGGGAGUGCUUGCUUUGUAAAAUAUUGUCUCACAUAUUUGAGGCCUAGGCUGUUGUUUCUGUCUAUAUUUUCAUUUGACUUGGCCUGAAAUCAUUCUGUUCCUCCUUAAAUAGUGUAUUAGUCCUCAAGGAUACACAUCAGUUGAACCGUUUAACCGAAGGCCCCAUCACCCAAGAACAGCAGCGCUGAGCAAGAAGACAUGGACUGUGUCAGACCCCGUUAGUGGAAGCUGUGUGGGGCGGGAGCCAGCCUGCCUCAAGGAAGGCUCUCCAGCCAGGAGCUUCAGGCUACAGAUUCAGGGGUGGCUAAUGGGGCUGUUGGGUAGCAGCCUCCAGCAGGCUCCUGGCAGAGAUGACUACAGAACCAACAAAUAAUGCAGGCAGGACCAGGACAAAACCUACAACCUUGUGGGUGGCAAGCAAACACUCUACCACCGAUGACCUCAUGGCUGGAUGUCCCCUGGCUCUGCAGCUUGCUAGGCGAGUAAUCUACCAGAUGGACACCAAGCUCUGGUCUUAAGUUUUAGUAGAAUUUGGCUUGACCUGACCUCCACACUAGCCUAUUGAGAAGCACGUCAUCUAUAGCUGCAGAGUUUUCCAGAGGUCACACUUGGGAAAAACUAAGUCAUGGCCUAGAGAGAAGGCCAGGCACUUUCAGACUGGAGAGACUUGGAGAAACUUCUUGCAUCUGAACUCCUCCCAAGACCUCUAUGAGGCUGGCUUGCCUAAGCACUUGGAAGAUGGAGGCUGGAACUCAUGGUCAUCCUAACACACACAAAUCAAACUGUAAGGACAGUUAACAAUGGCAGCGAUGGAGAGGGGUGACCAGAAAUUCCAAGAAGAAUACAAUUUGCGGCUCGAUGGGAUGAGCUUUUCUGCUGUUUGUUUUAUUUCUGUUCCUUGAGACAGGGACUUGCCAUGUAGUUAGUCCUCACUAGCCUACCACUUGCUUUGUAGGCUGGCCUUGGAUUAAACGUGUGUGUGUGUGUGUGUGUGUGUGUGUGUGUCUGUCUGUCUGUCUGUCUGUCUGUCUGUCUGUCUCGCUGGGUGAUGGUGGUCAGAGGCAGGGGCGACCAGCAGCGCAGGCAGCAAAGGUGCAUGCCUUUAGUCCCAGCACCUGGGAUGCAGAAGCAGGCAGCUUUCUGUGAGCUCAAGGCAAGCCUGCUCUACAGAGGGAGUUCCAGGGCAGCCAGGGCUACACAACAAAAACCUGUCUCAAAAACAAAAACAAACAAACAAAAAUAUGUGUGUGUGCAGCCCAACUCCACAAAAUAGUAUUUCAGUGCCCAGGAGGGUCGGUAGAUUCCUCAGUUUGUGCUGACCCUUAUACUAAUUAAGCCCAUUAAGUCAGAUUACUUCUUUCUUCCAUCCCCCCAGAGACAACCCCCAGGGUGUCCUCAAAUGAACCCCGAAGAGACCAGGAGCUGAAUCCUCACUCUGGAAGUUCUCAGUAUUUUUUACACCACUAUUUCAGUAUCUUGUCACAACAGUCUCUGAAGAUUCUCAAGAAAGAGAUGACAGCCUGAGGACUGGAGAGAUGGCUUGGUGCUUAAAAGUGCUCGAUGGUUUUGCAGAGGACUCAAAUCCAGCUCCCAGCACUCAAGCCAGGCAGUCGAGAACCACCUACAGCUUCAGGGGAUCUAAUGCUCCAUUCUGGUCUCAACUGGGCAGCUGCACUCACAUGAGCACACAGACACACAGGCACACAUAGUGAAAACAUGAAGCAGAGGCCUGGAGAGAGGGCUCAGCAGGUAAGAGCAUGGCUGUUCUUCCAGGGAACAUGAGUUCAUUUUCCAGCACCCACAUGGCAGCUCACAAAUGUCUGUAGCUCUAGCUCCAUGGAAUCUGAUGCCUUCUUCUGGCGUCCAUGGGCACUGUAUGCACAUAAUGGAUACCUAUGCAUACAGGCAAAGCACUGAUACACAUUUUAAAAAAAAUUAAAGUCUUUUUUAAAAAGCCAUUCAGCACAGGCAAGCUGAGCACUCCCAAGAUGAGCCCUACCUGGUGCCACGAGGAAGAGAGCCAGAGGCCCCGGGAGCCUCUAAGAGGAGCAAGUAAGCAA